rnacentral:rRNA from 1 species
GAUUAACGCUGGCGGCGUGCCUAACACAUGCAAGUCGAGCGGCAGCGAGUUUUACACUGAAUUCUGGAAGCUUCUAGUUGAAAGAGAAGAUUUAUUCAAGAAUUUUGUGUAAAAUGUCGGCGAGCGGCGGACGGCUGAGUAACGCGUGGGAACGUACCCCAAAGUGAGGGAUAACGCAUCGAAAGGUGUGCUAAUACCGCAUAUGGUCUUCGGAUUAAAGCCUUCGGGCGCUUUGGGAACGGCCUGCGUAAGAUUAGAUAGUUGGUGGGGUAAUGGCCUACCAAGUCGACGAUCUUUAACUGGCUUGAGAGGAUGAUCAGUCAGACUGGAACUGAGACACGGUCCAGACUCCUACGGGAGGCAGCAGUGAGGAAUCUUCCACAAUGGGCGAAAGCCUGAUGGAGCAACGCCGCGUGCAGGAUGAAGGCCUUCGGGUUGUAAACUGCUUUUAUAAGUGAGGAUUAUGACAGUAACUUAUGAAUAAGGAUCGGCUAACUACGUG